rnacentral:rRNA from 1 species
AUUGAACGCUGGCGGCAGGCCUAACACAUGCAAGUCGAGCGAGCGGCGGACGGGUGAGUAAUGUCUGGGAAACUGCCUGAUGGAGGGGGAUAACUACUGGAAACGGUAGCUAAUAUCGCAUACCAUCAGAUGUGCCCAGAUGGGAUUAGCUAGUAGGUGGGGUAACGGCUCACCUAGGCGACGAGCCCUAGCUGGUCUGAGAGGAGGACCAGCCACACGGGGACUGAGACACGGUCCAGACUCCUACGGGAGGCAGCAGUGGGGAAUAUUGGACAAUGGGGGAAAGCCUGAUGCAGCCAUGCCGCGUGUGGGAAGAAGGCCUUCGGGUUGUAAAGCACUUUCAGCGGAGAGGCGGUACCCGCAGAAGAAGCACCGGCUAACUCCGUGCCAGCCGCCGCGGUAAUUC